rnacentral:lncRNA from 1 species
GGCUUGCAUAUAAGGGAUUUCUGAUCAUUUGCAGUAGUGAAAGUUGUCUAAGUCACGGAGGACACUAAAAUCAAUGUUCCCUCCUGGGGCCAGUAGUUGCCAUUAUCAAGUUUGUAUUGAGGCCAGGCCAUCAAUUGUUCUGGUCUGACAGUCUCUCAGGGACCUAGGGUGUGUACAUUUUUUAAGAGAAACCCAAGCAGAGUGUGUUUUUGGAGGUGGUAAGGAAUGUUUCCCAUAGUGACCAAACCAGAAGUGAGCCAAAGGCAUAAGCUGGUCACAACCCCUACGAAGAUGGUCACCUUUGUUGGGGUGUGAUACAGAAAUGUCUGUGCGCCCCGUUCGUCAUCACCUAAGGGACAAAGGGACAUCCUGAAGGACAGCCGUGAGCGAGUCCUGACAUGGGCCCACGAUUUUUGCAGAAAGUGCGGCAGCAGUUCCUGCAGUGCAGAGUGGCUCACCUGUGAGAGAUGAAGUGGACCCGUGCUGGAUGGAGGCUGGCAAUGGCAAGGGCAGAGGGCAGAGAAGGAGAGGCGUGGCUUGUUGGUGGGGAGCUCAAACUGGGGCGACUCCAGGAGUCACAGCACCAAAAUGUUAGGUUCGGCACCAGGUCGAGCACUAGACAGAGCACGGAGAUCAGGUUGCAGUUCCAGCCCCACCUCUGGCGGAGAGUGGCUCACGUUGUGCUGGCCUCCAGGCAGCUCCAGUGUCACCUCUGUCUGUAGGGAGAAAAGAAAAACUCCACAGAAGACUCUGGACAGGUGAGAAAGAGGCCCUGCAGUGAGCUCCUCUUCCCAAAGCACCCCAUUCCCUCUUCCUCCCACACUUCUGUUCCCCCGGGCCCCUCCACCCACUGCCAGCCAGUCUGUGCCUUCCCUGGAGCCAGCUUAUCCGGACCCAACCUUGUCUCCUGCGCAGCCUUAGUGGUUUUCCCUCAAGACAGCAACUGUCUUAGCUUUUCAUGGUGUAGGACGUUCAGCCCUGCCCUGGCCUGGGCGUCAGAGUGCCCAGCAAUCAAAGCGCCCUCUUCAGAUGGCGGAGCAGGGUAAAAUACCAGCGGUCUCCCUCCCAAAACAUUCUCUACUCCAUCCCUUAGAACAAUAUACACCUGCAAUUCCUAGAGUUCAGUGUCCUUCAACCAAAAUAGAGCAAAAUCAUUUUUUGCUGCCAAUUGCAAACAGUUAAUCCAUGAAUAGAUGCCAAACUUGUAAUCAUCCCUGCUUUUCUAAAUCCAAGUCUUUCUGUUUUCCAGAUCCCAGUUUCUGGUAUCUCUAGCCAUGGAACACACCCACGAGAAAUCACCCUGAUACUGCCCUGUCCCUCAUCCCAUUUCCUAUCCAACCCAGUGCCGCUGAUUUGUCCCCUAAAUAGGCAGAAAACCUGCUGUGUGCUAUGUCUACCACCUCUGCCCAAUCUAAAUCAGCGCCACCUAUGGCCUUGACUGCUUCCUAGCCUCCUAGUUAUCUCCUUCAUCUGAGUUUCUUCCCCUCCUACCUAGUCUUUAAAAAUGUACAUGGCUUCCUAACCUUCCUCUUGGAAAUACUCUGGAGUUCCCAGUGUUGUUAUAAUAAAGAAAAACCAUCAGCCCAACCCUACCCUCCUCCGAGAGACUUCCUGCCCCGCUUCCUGGCCUCUGGCCCUCACUCUCUGGCUGGAUGUGCUAGCCUUCUUUUUGCUCCUUGAAGGUACCAAACUCUUUUCUUAGAAACUGCACAUGUUCCAAUGUCACCCUCCUCAUCACAGCAGACAGGCCUCCUUCUUACGUGAUUUCACGCCAUUUUGUUCUUCUUUUACACUUAUGGCACUCUGUGAGACAUUGGUAUAAAUAUUUGCUCUUCUCCCUCUGUGUGUGUGUGUGUGUGUGUGUGUGUGUGUGUGUGUGUGUUGCCUCUAAUUCCUUUAUCGGACAUUUAGAAGGCCCUCAACAAGUAAUGUUGUGAAACGAAUUUUGUGGUGGAGAGGGUCAGAAAGCAAGAGGCCUCAGAAUCCCUGCAGUGGAGGGAGGCGGGGUCUCCAGGCAGGGAGCCUGCACUCCUUUGCCUUCAACUCUGGGGAACAAAGCAGAAUUGUGCCUGAAGACAUUUGGUCCCCGACUGCCUAGAUCAGCAGGAACACUGCAGCAGAGCCCCCUGAUGUAUUACAGCACUGCUUGAUGAUUUAUGAAGCUGUUCUUCUGUGUCACACACCAUGCUCACUGUAACGCAGCCUCAUCUCCAGAGGUUUCAUUGGUGAAGGCACUGUUGUGUCGCGCAGCUGUGAAGAGCGGGAGGGCCAAGGCGGCCUGGGUCGUGUGUCGCUCGUGUUCCAAGGCCCCUCUGGAGGAGAUGUCACUUCUGGAGAACUUGGUCCCCAGAGAUGUCUGGUCUCAGGCCCUCUUUACACAGAGUGCAGAUGACUGAAGUUUCACCUCAUACAGGGGCCAAACAGAUGUUCCGGACCUGGAAUUUGCCGGUAAAAUAGACAACCUGAGGUCCUGCUGAAAAAAACCAAGAGCUUUUAGCCUGUGUUCCAAUGGCUCAUUUCCGUCCCAGCCUGCAGGAAGUUGAUCAGUCGAACUCACCCAAGCGCCUAGACCAGAUGCCACAAGCCAGGAGUUCUCUCUGCUUCCCUCCCGCCUCCCCACCUCUGCUCAUCACCCUCGGGUCUGAGGACAGUCGACCCCCCCCAUCACAAAAAGUAAAAGGGUGGACAUGAUAGACUCAGACCUGCCUUGGCAGCUUCGACUGGCGUAGGCUGCUGAGGGAGCAGCGUGUGAGCAAGGCUGGGUCUCCACGGCUGGCUCCAGCAUUCUGCAGACCCCAGUGACAGAGCAUGUGGCCCGUGGACUUUGACGCUCUUUGCUACUUGGGGUGGUGGGGGGAUGGAGACACCACUGGAACUGGCAAACUGCCGGCUCAGCGCCUGAGGUGGGGCCGCUCAAGCCGCCUACCGCGGAUCUCCGGGCCCCAUAAAUCUUUCAAUUUUUAUCCUAAUCAAAUCUCCUGCAUCACACCGUCUGCAAAGACUUCGGGAAAGGUAUUUCCUUCCAGCCAAGGACCUUGAGGCCUAUUUUACUUGACCCUGCAAGUCAUCCCAGAACACGCCGGCACACAGCACCUCUCUAAAAUGUACCCGUCUUCUGGACACUGAGACACAAGCAUCAGCCGGGCGUGGUGGCACACGUCUGUAAUCCCAGCACUCAGGAGGCUGAGGCAGAAGGAUGGCUGCGAGCUGGAGGCCAGCCUGGGCUGUAUGGCAAGACCCUGUCUCAAACAACAACGACAACAAAAGUAGAAACAAGCAUCGGUGGAGCCGGGCAGGGGUCCAGCUACGUUACAGAUCCUGUUCUAAAGUGCUCUCGCCGAAGUGAUGUUUGUAAAACCGUCCUGAGUUGUUACUGUGACAAUGCAAUGAACCGCGACGCGGUUAAGGCAGGUCAACAGGUCUCUCCCUGGCUCUCCCGACCCGCGAGCUCUCCCGACCAGCGAGCAUCUGCGCAUCUCAUGUGCUCCAUUAAGGCGAAGACGCGGAGAGGGGCGUGGGAGACGUCAGGGGCCUGGGGCAGAUGCUGAGAUGGCUCAUCCGAGCAGAGUGGCUCGGAAGGUCCUCCCGCCCGGCUGUGUCCCCC